UUCUAGCUCGGCGAUCCACCGAAUCCAAUGCUUCGAGCUGAAGCUGUUCCGGCGUGAAGUACCGCUUGACUUUGUUGAGGAUGCCAAGUUUCUUGCCAGCUGUUUUUGCCUUGGAUUCGAUGCAUUGUCCAAAGUUGAGAUUGGACGAAAUGUUGAUUCCUUGAAGCUCAACACUAUCGGUAAUCGGAACGGGUAUACUUCGGAAAGUCGGAGUAAGUGGGAAUGGACUCCGUUUCGCGGUGAAUAAACACGCUUGCGUUUUGGUGGCGUUAAAUUUGACAAGAUUGGCGUCCCCCCAGUCGGACACCUCCUUCAAGGUCAAAUCAACGCGUUCAACCAAGGCCUUUCUAUGCUCUAGGAUCUCAGCUCCACUUGCACGGGGACCGGAUAUAUACGAGUAUCUCUCUGUAACGGUGCUGUCGUCCGCGUACCCAAAGAUACCGGGUUUUAGCACGUCGUUUA